GGGGUUGUGGCUCAGCAGUAGAGCACUCGCCUAGAACGUGCGAGGGCCUGAGUUCUAUUCUCAGCACCA
rnacentral:tRNA from 1 species